rnacentral:rRNA from 1 species
AGUGGAGCCUGCGGCUUAAUUUGACUCAACACGGGGAAACUCACCAGGUCCAGACAUAGUAAGGAUUGACAGAUUGAGAGCUCUUUCUUGAUUCUAUGGGUGGUGGUGCAUGGCCGUUCUUAGUUGGUGGAGUGAUUUGUCUGGUUAAUUCCGAUAACGAACGAGACCUUAACCUGCUAAAUAGUUGCGUCAACUCUGGUUGAUGUUACAACUUCUUAGAGGGACUAUGGAUGUUUAAUCCAUGGAAGUUUGAGGCAAUAACAGGUCUGUGAUGCCCUUAGAUGUCCUGGGCCGCACGCGCGCUACACUGAUGAAGGCAGCAAGUUUUUUUCCUUGGCCGGAAGGUCUGGGUAAUCUUGUGAAACUUUAUCGUGCUGGGGAUAGUCCUUUGCAAUUAUUGGACUUCAACGAGGAAUUCCUAGUAAGCGCGAGUCAUCAGCUCGCGUUGAUUACGUCCCUGCCCUUUGUACACACCGCCCGUCGCUACUACCGAUUGAAUGGCUUAGUGAGACCUCCGGAUUGGCGUCGUUCCGCUGGCAACAGCGUUACAAUGCCGAGAAGUUGGUCAAA